CCUACGGGAGGCAGCAGUAGGGAAUAUUGGACAAUGGACGCAAGUCUGAUCCAGCCAUCCCGCGUGAAGGAUUAAGGCCCUAUGGGUUGUAAACUUCUUUUCUUUGGGAAUAAAAAGCGGUAUUCAUAUCGCCUUGAAGGUACCAGAGGAAUAAGCACCGGCUAACUCCGUGCCAGCAGCCGCGGUAAUACGGAGGGUGCAAGCGUUAUCCGGAUUCACUGGGUUUAAAGGGUGCGUAGGUGGCUUUGUAAGUCAGCGGUGAAAGCCUGGAGCUCAACUCCAGAAUUGCCAUUGAUACUGCAGAGCUUGAAUCAAGUUGAGGUGGAUGGAAUAUUACAUGUAGCGGUGAAAUGCUUAGAUAUGUAAUAGAACACCGAUUGCGAAGGCAGUUCACUAAGCUUGUAUUGACACUGAGGCACGAAAGCGUGGGGAUCAAACAGGAUUAGAUACCCUGGUAGUCCACGCCCUAAACGAUGCAAACUCGACAUUAGCGAUAUACAGUUAGUGUCCAAGCGAAAGCGUUAAGUUUGCCACCUGGGAAGUACGACCGCAAGGUUGAAACUCAAAUGAAAUUGACGGNGUGAGAGNGCGAGGCGACACGAGGGAGGAG
rnacentral:rRNA from 1 species